rnacentral:rRNA from 1 species
CCUACGGGAGGCUGCAGUGGGGAAUAUUGGGCAAUGGGCGCAAGCCUGACCCAGCAACGCCGCGUGAAGGAAGAAGGCUUUCGGGUUGUAAACUUCUUUUCUGAGGGACGAAGAAAGUGACGGUACCUCAGGAAUAAGCCACGGCUAACUACGUGCCAGCAGCCGCGGUAAUACGUAGGUGGCAAGCGUUAUCCGGAUUUAUUGGGUGUAAAGGGCGUGUAGGCGGGAAAGCAAGUCAGAUGUGAAAACUCAGGGCUCAACCCUGAGCCUGCAUUUGAAACUGUUUUUCUUGAGUGCUGGAGAGGCAAUCGGAAUUCCGUGUGUACCGGUGAAAUGCGGAGAUAUACGGAGGAACACCAGUGGCGAAGGCAGCAUACCGGCGCUCAACUGACGCUGAGGCACGAAAGCGUGGGGAUCGAACAGGAUUAGAUACCCGAGUAGUC